GGCUAUGAAGUCCGAUCACAUAAUUGAUGUCAUUCAGAAAUUAAGUUCACCGCUCACUAAGUGCUGAUGGAGGAAAUCUUGGGCUCCCCCAAUUACCAGGUCAAGAAUACUCUUUUCAUAGCUUUCGAACAAACACAUACAAACUGAGCUUUAUGGAGAGUCCCUCUGGGAUUAAGGUCAAGGAUGCUCUUUUCAUAGCUUUCGAAUAAACACAUACAAACUGA